GAUGAACGCUGGCGGCGUGCCUAAUACAUGCAAGUCGAGCGAACGGACGAGAAGCUUGCUCCUCUGAUGUUAGCGGCGGACGGGUGAGUAACACGUGGAUAACCUACCUAUAAGACUGGGAUAACUUCGGGAAACCGGAGCUAAUACCGGAUAAUAUUUUGAACCGCAUGGUUCAAAAGUGAAAGACGGUUUUGCUGUCACUUAUAGAUGGAUCCGCGCUGCAUUAGCUAGUUGGUAAGGUAACGGCUUACCAAGGCAACGAUGCAUAGCCGACCUGAGAGGGUGAUCGGCCACACUGGAACUGAGACACGGUCCAGACUCCUACGGGAGGCAGCAGUAGGGAAUCUUCCGCAAUGGGCGAAAGCCUGACGGAGCAACGCCGCGUGAGUGAUGAAGGUCUUCGGAUCGUAAAACUCUGUUAUUAGGGAAGAACAUAUGUGUAAGUAACUGUGCACGUCUUGACGGUACCUAAUCAGAAAGCCACGGCUAACUACGUG
rnacentral:rRNA from 1 species